rnacentral:rRNA from 1 species
AUUGAACGCUGGCGGCAGGCUUAACACAUGCAAGUCGAGCGGGGUGAUGGUGCUUGCACUAUCACUUAGCGGCGGACGGGUGAGUAAUGCUUAGGAAUCUGCCUAUUAGUGGGGGACAACAUCUCGAAAGGGAUGCUAAUACCGCAUACGUCCUACGGGAGAAAGCAGGGGAUCACUUGUGACCUUGCGCUAAUAGAUGAGCCUAAGUCGGAUUAGCUAGUUGGUGGGGUAAAGGCCUACCAAGGCGACGAUCUGUAGCGGGGCUGAGAGGAUGAUCCGCCACACUGGGAAUGAGACACGGCCCAGACUCCUACGGGAGGCAGCAGUGGGGAAUAUUGGACAAUGGGGGGAACCCUGAUCCAGCCAUGCCGCGUGUGUGAAGAAGGCCUUAUGGUUGUAAAGCACUUUAAGCGAGGAGGAGGCUCUUUUGGUUAAUACCCAGAAUGAGUGGACGUUACUCGCAGAAUAAGCACCGGCUAACUCUGUGCCAGCAGCCGCCGUAACAC